rnacentral:rRNA from 1 species
AUUGAACGCUGACGGCAUGCCUUACACAUGCAAGUCGAACGGCAGCACGGGAGCAAUCCUGGUGGCGAGUGGCGAACGGGUGAGUAAAGUAUCGGAACGUGCCCAGUCGUGGGGGAUAACGUAGCGAAAGUUACGCUAAUACCGCAUACGAUCUAUGGAUGAAAGCGGGGGAUCGCAAGACCUCGCGCGAUUGGAGCGGCCGAGAUCAGAUUAGGUAGGUGGGGGGGUAAAGGCUCACCAAGCCGACGAUCUGUAGCUGGUCUGAGAGGACGACCAGCCAUGCUGGGACUGGGACACGGCCCAGACUCCUACGGGAGGCAGCAGUGGGGAAUUUUGGACAAUGGGCGAAAGCCUGAUCCAGCCAUGCCGCGGGCAGGAUGAAGGCCUUCGGGUUGUAAACUGCUUUUGUACGGAACGAAAAGGUUUGGCCUAAUAAGCUGAGCUCAUGACGGUACCGUAAGAAUAAGCACCGGCUAACUACGUGCCAGCCGCCGCCGUAA